rnacentral:rRNA from 1 species
UGACCUCAAAUCAGGUAGGACUACCCGCUGAACUUAAGCAUAUCAAUAAGCGGAGGAAAAGAAACUAACAAGGAUUCCCCUAGUAACUGCGAGUGAAGCGGGAAAAGCUCAAAUUUAAAAUCUGGCGGUCUUUGGCCGUCCGAGUUGUAGUCUGGAGAAGCGUCUUCCGCGUUGGACCGUGUACAAGUCUCUUGGAACAGAGCGUCAUAGAGGGUGAGAAUCCCGUCUUUGACACGGACUACCAAUGCUUUGUGAUGCGCUCUCAAAGAGUCGCGUUGUUUGGGAAUGCAGCGCAAAAUGGGAGGUGAAUUCCUUCUAAAGCUAAAUAUUGGCGAGAGACCGAUAGCGAACAAGUACCGUGAGGGAA